rnacentral:rRNA from 1 species
UACGUAGGGUGCAAGCGUUAAUCGGAAUUACUGGGCGUAAAGCGUGCGCAGGCGGCUUUGCAAGACAGAUGUGAAAUCCCCAGGGCUUAACCUGGGAACUGCAUUUGUGACUGCAAGGCUAGAGUACGGUAGAGGGGGAUGGAAUUCCGCGUGUAGCAGUGAAAUGCGUAGAUAUGCGGAGGAACACCGAUGGCGAAGGCAAUCCCCUGGACCUGUACUGACGCUCAUGCACGAAAGCGUGGGGAGCAAACAGG